UUCGGAAUUUGAGACCGGCGCACGGGUGCGUAACGCGUAUGCAAUCUGCCUUCCACAGAGGGAUAGCCCAGAGAAAUUUGGAUUAAUACCUCAUAGCAUUACAGGAUGGCAUCAUCCGGUAAUUAAAGUCACAACGGUGGAAGAUGAGCAUGCGUCCCAUUAGCUAGUUGGUAAGGUAACGGCUUACCAAGGCGACGAUGGGUAGGGGUCCUGAGAGGGAGAUCCCCCACACUGGUACUGAGACACGGACCAGACUCCUACGGGAGGCAGCAGUGAGGAAUAUUGGUCAAUGGGCGCAAGCCUGAACCAGCCAUGCCGCGUGCAGGAUGACGGUCCUAUGGAUUGUAAACUGCUUUUGUACGGGAAGAAACACUGAUUCGUGAAUCAGCCUGACGGUACCGUAAGAAUAAGGAUCGGCUAACUCCGUGCCAGCAGCCGCGGUAAUACGGAGGAUCCAAGCGUUAUCCGGAAUCAUUGGGUUUAAAGGGUCUGUAGGCGGUCUUGUAAGUCAGUGGUGAAAGCCCAUCGCUCAACGGUGGAACGGCCAUUGAUACUGCAGGACUUGAAUUACCGGGAAGUAACUAGAAUAUGUAGUGUAGCGGUGAAAUGCUUAGAUAUUACAUGGAAUACCAAUUGCGAAGGCAGGUUAC
rnacentral:rRNA from 1 species